AUGGAGGGCUGCGACCGGAUCAGGGGUCCAUGGAGCCCGGAGGAGGACGCCGCGCUGCGGCGGCUGGUGGAGUGCCACGGCGCGCGCAACUGGACGGCCAUCGGCCGCGGGGUGCCCGGCAGGUCCGGCAAGUCCUGCCGCCUGCGUUGGUGCAACCAGCUGUCGCCCGGGGUGGAGCGCAGGCCGUUCACGGCCGAGGAGGACGCCGCCAUCGCCCGCGCCCAUGCGAGACUCGGCAACCGCUGGGCCGUCAUCGCGCGCCUGCUGCACGGCCGCACCGACAACGCCGUCAAGAACCAUUGGAACUGCUCCCUCAAGCGCAGGCUCGCCGAUGUUGGCGUUGCAGAGGAGGAGGAGCGGCCGUGCAAGCGCGCCAGCGUCACGCCGGAGAGCACCUCCGGAUCGGGGUCGGGGUGUGGCUCCGGAUCGGACCGCAGCGACCUCAGCCAUGGCGGUGUCUUCGGGGGCCAGGUUUACCGCCCGGUGGCGCGGGCCGGCGGGUUCGAGCCAGCGGACUGCGCCAUGAGCCGGCGGCACGAGGAGGAGCGGGAGGAGCAGGAGGACCCGCUCACCUCGCUCUCCCUCUCCCUUCCCGGCACCGACGUCCAGGGGUUCCACCACGACAGCUCCCACAGUCAUUUCCACCAGCCGUCGCCCUCCCCGUCGCCGCCGCCCACUCCGGCGCCGACGUCCUACCCAUUCAGCCCUGAGUUUGCGGCGCUGAUGCAGGAGAUGAUCCGGGACGAGGUGCGAAGGUACAUCUCCGGCGUCGGCUGCGGCGCCAACCUGCCGUCCAUGCCUCAGGUUGUGGACGGCGUGAUGCGGGCCGCGGCGGAGCGCGCUGGCGCGGUUGUGAGGAUGCAGUGA
rnacentral:rRNA from 1 species